rnacentral:rRNA from 1 species
GAUGAACGCUGGCGGCGUGCCUAAUACAUGCAAGUCGAGCGAACAGACGAGGAGCUUGCUCCUCUGACGUUAGCGGCGGACGGGUGAGUAACACGUGGAUAACCUACCUAUAAGACUGGGAUAACUUCGGGAAACCGGAGCUAAUCCCGGAUAAUAUAUUGAACCGCAUGGUUCAAUAGUGAAAGACGGUUUUGCGGUCACUUAUAGAUGGAUCCGCGCCGCAUUAGCUAGUUGGUAAGGUAACGGCUUACCAAGGCAACGAUGCGUAGACGACCUGAGAGGGGGAUAGGCCACACUGGAACUGGGACACGGACCAGACGCCUACGGGAGGCAGCAGUAGGGAAUGUGCCGCAAUGGGCGAAAGCCUGACGGAGCAACGCCGCGUGAGUGAUGAAGGUCUUCGGAGCGUAAAACUCGGUUAUUAGGGAAGAACAAAUGUGUAAGUAACUAUGCACGUCUUGACGGUAACUAAUCAGAAAGCCACGGCUAACUACGUG